rnacentral:pre_miRNA from 1 species
GAAUGGGGGGCACGGGAAAAACUACAUUGGCCAAAGAAGUGGGUAAGGAACUUAAGCAGUCCAAACAAUUUACUAUAUGAUAGAGCUAGACGAUAAUGAUUAUAGAAUAUCAUGAGUAAAUUGUUUGGACUGCUUAAGUUCCUUGCCCACUUCUUUGGCCAAUGUAGUUUUUCCCGUGCCCCCCAUUCC